rnacentral:lncRNA from 1 species
UUUAUUCUCCCCCUUUUUGUCAGACUCAAAAAGACUUAGCAAAAAAAAUUUAGAGUAGGCAAAAUAUGAUUCAUAUAUGGGAAAGAGAAAUAUAGAUAAUAUGAUUAACUAUAAAGAACAAAGAGAAAAACACUUAGAGAAUACAUAUCAAAUAUGAAAGUAGAGAAAAUAACAAAACAAAUCCUAAGUGCCUAAGGGUUCG